rnacentral:rRNA from 1 species
UACGUAGGGGGCAAGCGUUGUCCGGAUUUAUUGGGCGUAAAGAGCGUGUAGGCGGUUUGGUAGGUCCGUUGUGAAAACUCGAGGCUCAACCUCGAGACGCCGGCGGAAACCAUCAGGCUAGAGUCCGGAAGAGAAGAGUGGAAUUCCUGGUGUAGCGGUGAAAUGCGCAGAUAUCAGGAAGAACACCCGUGGCUAAGGCGGCUCUCUAGUACGGUACUGACGCUGAGACGCGAAAGCGUGGGGAGCGAACAGG